rnacentral:rRNA from 1 species
UACGAAGGGGGCUAGCGUUGUUCGGAAUUACUGGGCGUAAAGCGCGCGCAGGCGGUCCUUCAAGUCAGAGGUGAAAGCCCAGAGCUCAACUCUGGAAUGGCCUUUGAGACUAGAGGACUUGGGUACGGGAGAGGUGAGUGGAAUUCCGAGUGUAGAGGUGAAAUUCGUAGAUAUUCGGAAGAACACCAGUGGCGAAGGCGGUUCACUGGCCCGUUACCGACGCUCAGGCGCGACAGCGUGGGGAGCAAACAGG